UCAUCACUUUCAGCGAUCUAAUAUAAUAUAAUGUAUAGUAUUAACAAGGAGCACAAAUUGAGAAAACAUUGAGGAGACAAAACAGGGACCACAAUAGGACCACUAUAGAGAGGCAAUUGCAUAAAAAAGAAACAAAUUAGGAUCACUAUAAUACUUAAACAAAUUAGGACCACAAAGCAACAUAAACAAUAAUAUAGAUGGUAAUAAUAUAAGAGAUACAAAAGCUUCAAAAUAGCAGCAACAUGAAUAUUGAAUAAGCGAAAAAAGAAGCAACAACAACAUGGUUCACGCUAAAACAAAUUUGGUUCAAGCUAAAACAACAUGGUUCAUUGUACUAAAAAACACAAAUUUCAUUCAUGAAAAUUAACAAGUGAGAAUAAUCCCUUACAAAUUUAUAAAAGUUAAAACGAAAAACAGUGAAAAACGUACCUUAAAACAACGACGACAACCGGAAUUAGAGCAUAUAGGUGGCGCUAGGGUUUUCAGAUUGAGAUGAUUUGAGAGAGUUGAUCGAGAAGAGAGAGAUACGAAGAUGCAAUUGAAGGGG
rnacentral:lncRNA from 1 species